GGCGUGCCUAAUACAUGCAAGUCGAGCGGACAGAAGGGAGCUUGCUCCCGGAUGUUAGCGGCGGACGGGUGAGUAACACGUGGGUAACCUGCCUGUAAGACUGGGAUAACUCCGGGAAACCGGAGCUAAUACCGGAUAGUUCCUUGAACCGCAUGGUUCAAGGAUGAAAGACGGUUUCGGCUGUCACUUACAGAUGGACCCGCGGCGCAUUAGCUAGUUGGUGAGGUAACGGCUCACCAAGGCGACGAUGCGUAGCCGACCUGAGAGGGUGAUCGGCCACACUGGGACUGAGACACGGCCCAGACUCCUACGGGAGGCAGCAGUAGGGAAUCUUCCGCAAUGGACGAAAGUCUGACGGAGCAACGCCGCGUGAGUGAUGAAGGUUUUCGGAUCGUAAAGCUCUGUUGUUAGGGAAGAACAAGUGCAAGAGUAACUGCUUGCACCUUGACGGUACCUAACCAGAAAGCCACGGCUAACUACGUGCCAGCAGCCGCGGUAAUACGUAGGUGGCAAGCGUUGUCCGGAAUUAUUGGGCGUAAAGGGCUCGCAGGCGGUUUCUUAAGUCUGAUGUGAAAGCCCCCGGCUCAACCGGGGAGGGUCAUUGGAAACUGGGAAACUUGAGUGCAGAAGAGGAGAGUGGAAUUCCACGUGUAGCGGUGAAAUGCGUAGAGAUGUGGAGGAACACCAGUGGCGAAGGCGACUCUCUGGUCUGUAACUGACGCUGAGGAGCGAAAGCGUGGGGAGCGAACAGGAUUAGA
rnacentral:rRNA from 1 species